UGGCUCAGUGGUUAAGAGCACUGGCUGUUCUUCCAGGAGACCUGGGUUCAAUUCCCAG
rnacentral:tRNA from 1 species